rnacentral:rRNA from 1 species
ACACGGGGAAACUCACCAGGUCCAGACACAUUAAGGAUUGACAGAUUGAGAGCUCUUUCUUGAUUAUGUGGGUGGUGGUGCAUGGCCGUUCUUAGUUGGUGGAGUGAUUUGUCUGCUUAAUUGCGAUAACGAACGAGACCUUAACCUGCUAAAUAGCCAGGCUAGCUUUUGCUGGUCGCCGGCUUCUUAGAGGGACUAUCGGCUCAAGCCGAUGGAAGUUUGAGGCAAUAACAGGUCUGUGAUGCCCUUAGAUGUUCUGGGCCGCACGCGCGCUACACUGACAGAGCCAACGAGUAUAAACCUUAACCGAGAGGUUUGGGUAAUCUUGUUAAACUCUGUCGUGCUGGGGAUAGGGCAUUGCAAUUAUUGCCCUUCAACGAGGAAUAUCUAGUAAGCGCAAGUCAUCAGCUUGCGUUGAUUACGUCCCUGCCCUUUGUACACACCGCCCGUCGCUACUACCGAUUGAAUGGCUCAGUGAGGCCUUCGGACUGGCUCCAGGA